GCUAAAAUGUUACAACUAUUUCAAACAUAAGUGACUAUUUUGAUAGUUUAUCCAAAUCUGAAAAUGUUUCGUAGUUUUUUCUUUUUCUUUAAAGAAGGUUUUUUUUUUUAAAGAAGUUUUUAAAGAAGUUCAACUUACAUCAAAUAUCUUCUUUUAUUUUGAUAUAAACGAACAGUAAAGCAAAGAAAAAAAAAGGCACAGCAAUGGCAGAUCCAGUUAAGAAGAACAUGUUGAAAGAAGAAAUCAUUACUUACGCUUACCUCAUUCUCUACAUCGCUCUUUCCAGCGGUCAAAUCUUCUUCAACAAGUGGGUUUUGUCAUCAAAGGAAAUCAAUUUUCCGUAUCCCCUUGGGUUGACUCUGCUUCACAUGGUCUUCUCUUCUGUUUUAUGUUUCUUACUCACUAAAGUCUUCAAGAUUUUGAAAGUUGAAGAAGGAAUGACGUUAGAAAUAUACACGACAUCUGUGAUCCCAAUUGGUGCCAUGUUUGCAAUGACUCUUUGGCUGGGAAACACUGCCUACUUGCAUAUAUCAGUGGCAUUUGCACAAAUGCUGAAGGCAAUUAUGCCAGUAGCUGUUUUCAUCCUUGGAGUAGCAGCAGGACUGGAGGUAAUGAGCUGCAGGAUGCUUUUAAUAAUGUCAGUGAUAAGCUUUGGUGUUCUGGUGGCUUCUUAUGGAGAAAUAAAUAUUAGCUGGAUUGGAGUUGUUUACCAAAUGGGUGGUGUUGUCGGAGAAUCUUUAAGACUUAUAUUCAUGGAGAUUCUGGUUAAGCGAAAGGGUCUCAAGUUAAACCCUAUAUCUAUCAUGUAUUAUGUUAGUCCUUGCAGUGCUCUUUGUCUGUUUAUUCCUUGGAUCUUUCUGGAGAAACCGAAAAUGGAUGCCCAUGGGAUGUGGAACCUUCACCCUGUUGUGUUAACGCUGAACUCUCUCUGCACCUUUGCACUCAACUUGUCAGUUUUCCUAGUGAUCUCACACACUAGUGCUCUAACCAUUCGCGUUGCUGGAGUCGUCAAGGAUUGGGUGGUUGUUUUAGUAUCGGCCCUUCUCUUUGCAGAUACAAAGUUGACAGUCAUAAAUUUAUUUGGCUAUGGCAUAGCCAUUGCUGGUGUGGCGGCAUACAAUAAUCACAAGUUGAAGAGGGAAGCAAUUCGCAAUAUCUCUGAUGACUCCCAAGCUGCCCUGACCAUACCGACGGCUACAUCAUCGAAUCUGAACAGAUAGUUAUGUACAACUCUAAUCUGUAAAGAUGAUGUUGAAAGUAUAAAUAAUUGCACAAAUCACAGCUACUUGGAACCGCCAAUUAUUCGGGGGGGGGUACAUUGUUGUGCCACUAUCGAGCUGCUGCGCCGGUUGUUAUAUUUGGAGAAAGUGACCUUCUGAGAUAAGGUGAAGUAGAAAAUCUGCAAAGAAAUACUUGGACUGUUUUAAACUGUAGCGUUAUGAGUUUUUGGUUUUGUUAUGUCUUAACUGUACAUUGCUGGGUGGGAUUAGAGGUGUCCAUUCUCAGGUUGGCUUUGUUUGCCCAAACUUGAUUAGAUUUUAAAGCUCGUUUUAUUGUUUUAAAUAUAUGAAAAGGUCAUUUUAAUAAUAAUAUUAUUAUUAUUAUUAUUUUAUUUAAA